AUUGAACGCUGGCGGCAGGCCUAACACAUGCAAGUCGAGCGAGCGGCGGGCGGGAGAGUAAUGUAUGGGGCCUGUGCGAUAGGGGGGGAAAAAUACGGGAAAAGGUGGCUAAUACCGCAAAAUAGGGGAUAACAGAUAUGGGAUUAGCUAGUAGGUGGGGGAAAGGCACACUUAGGCGACGAUCUCUAGCUGGUCUGAGAGGAUGAUCAGCCCAACUGGGACUGAGACACUGCCCAGACUCCUACGGAGGCAGCAGGGGGGAAUAUUGCACAAUGGGCGCAAGCCUGAUGCAGCCAUGCCGCGUGUAUGAAUAAGGCCUUAGGGUUGUAAAGUACUUUCAGCGUGGAGGCGUUACCCGCAGAAGAAGCACCGGCUAACUCCGUGCCAGCAGCCGCGGUAAUAC
rnacentral:rRNA from 1 species